CGCGGGGUGGAGCAGUUGGUAGCUCGUCGGGCUCAUAACCCGAAGGUCGCAGGUUCAAGUCCGUCCCCGCAACCA
rnacentral:tRNA from 1 species